GAGUAACUUCCAAAAGCUUUACUGGAGGCAGGAUGAAGCCCUGUGAGCAAUCGGUCUGCGUUUCAAGCCUUCUUCACCUAAAAGAGAUUCCAUUUAUUGGCCCUGGAGGCUGACAAGGAACCGACACCUGUGCCCAAAUGGCUUCUGGACUGUGGCAGCGAGCGACGGGCACGUUCACUGUGUGGCAGCGCUGUAGUUCCAAGUGUGCUCAAGGCAUGGGAGAGCAGCAGACUUUACGCUUGCAAGAUGUCCGUUUUAUUUGUAGAAGAGGACUGAGCGCAACUUCUCCAAUUCCCAGUCCUGGGCAGCUGUAGAAUUUCAAAAUGUGUGGCAAUACGAGCAUUUAUUCAUCUUUUGUGCCACACUUUCACACUCCGCAAUGUGACUGAUUGAUGCAGUAAGUGCAGUUAAUUUCAAUUCUGAUUUUUGGGACUGGAUUUGUCAAUCAAUCUUGUUCACUGAAGUAAUUUAGUAACUGUCUCUGAUUUCUUAGCCCUUUCUUUCCCUCUUUCUCUUUUGCUCAAUAAUUUACAAGUGAAAGUUCUCUAACAGUUACCUGUCAAUUUGGUGUUCAUAAACUGAAGGACAAGUGUCUGUUAUUUGCAUCCUAUGCCAACGCAGCCCUAGUUUGGCAGCAGCGAUUGUCAGUAAAUUGCCAUUAUUGUGUCUUUGCUCUUACCCCUCUUCAAUAGGCAUCUGCGGUGCCGAAAACCCAAACCAGCUGCAUCUUCAAGAAAUAAAAGCCCACAGGGAGCACGGGUAACCAGCGUUACAUACACCAAAUGAGACAGAUCGAAUUAAUUCUGUGGAGAGGACUGGCUUACAUAAACACAUUACAUACGCCAGAUAUCAACGUAGGACAUUAUUCUCCCUUAUUCACAGGAGAUUCUGUCAGUGUCAAUAAGAGGUUUACAGAAAGAUGUAAAGUGUCAACAUCAAGCUGUAACUAAUGUUUUAGUUAGCACCAUUAUUAUUUCAUAUACAGCAUUACCUGAUGGGAAAAACCCAUUAACUCUAAAACCACAGUUGUGCACUGUGUAUUUCACCUUGUUUGUUGUCCUUUCAACUUCCCUAUCAGCUUUUAACAUCAAUCAACAAACUCAUCCUUUUCCAGAUGAAUAAUGGUCCCCCGCUGACUGGCAUCUGGAGAACAAGAAGCGUAGCAAAGCUGAUCCCGUGGCACCUCUGUUAUCUGGGGCAUGGAUCUCGGAUAUGAAGAGGAAGCAUCCAGAAAAGUUUCUCCUGUGAACAAAGAUGUUGGUUCACAAAAGACUGUUUGAUCCAGUUGAGCAAAGACUGAAGAAGCACAGUUUCUUUCCCAGAUGUCUCCUGCUUUCCUUAUCCCCGCUCCAGCCUCGACUGUAACCACCGUUAGAAGCGGAAUUUUAAGAGCCUGUGUCUCGAUGUGAAGGUGAAGCACUCGUAGAACAUCUGCUUCGAGUAGGAAAAUUGAUCUUUCUGCACUGGGAAAAAGCUCAUCUGUGUGGGAGAGGGCUGUUGGAGAGGCUCAUUUCAAGUGUAAGGAAUGAGCUUGCCAGGAGUUAAGGACAAUCACAAGUCUUGCCUUGUUCUGCCUCAAGUUCAGGUCUUCCUAUUGGGUUUGUUGGAGCUGAAAGAAAAUGGUAUAUUUGAGGCUGAUCAUCAUCUUUUGCAUCAUGUUUUCUUCACGUGGUAGUUCUGGAUUAAAAGAGAUGACAAGAUAACGUGUGUUGAAAUACGUAAAUCUGCUUUGUGGCUCUGCAGCAGUGGCCAAAAGGAGGAGCCCUGGGAGCCCUACCAGAGGUGUCGCAGAGACUACGUGAUCUUGGGUGUGGAGGACAGGAGCAGGUCCUGGUGACGGCACUGUCUCGGAAAUGGCACAUUCCUAAGCACACUAGGAAAGACACCCCUGCUUCUUCGGGCUCCCUGUUGGGCCACUUUCUAGCAGCCUUUGGAAGGCGCUCUUUGGUUGGUACAGGGAUCUGCUACCUUCGUGCUGGCAGCUUUUCUGGAGAUGUUGAGCCACAUUCUACAAUCAGGGCACAGACACAAGCAGGGUAUCAGAAGUUCUUCCUCAAAAAGAAAUUGUAUUAAGAUGACAAAAAGUAGCACGGCUCUUCUGUGCCUGUGCUUGAAGUAGGAUAUAUACUGCAUUUUGGGAAGUUAUAGAGAAGUCCUCUGAUCAUCCAGCUGUGAAAAGCACCAUGACUGGUUCUGCCCAGAAGCUGCGUGAAUGCAUGUGGAGCAGAAAAGUUGCUCUUUAUAGCCAGCUGUAAAAUUCUUUCAAACCCUGUGAAUGUUCAGCCAGAGAAGGCUUUUCUCACUGAGAUAUAGAUUAGCUUCAGCACAGCAGCCGUCAGCAGUGUGCGUGAGUCGAGGUUUCACUCCAAGCCUACACUUCACUGGGGGCGCUCAGUCAGGCAGCCCAUUUCAAGAAACAAAACAGCGUUUGGUUCCAGUAAAGCUACCACAGAACACCCUACAGUUUUGACAAACGUUGUAAUUAGUUACUAUUGUGUGUUUCCCACACAGUGCAAACGCUGUAGAAUGUUGUUCACGUGAUGCAGCAUUGCCAGCAGAUAAUCGUCGGAGCAUUAAACCAGAAGAGGUUGUGUGUAUGCUACAGGCUGCAGGAGAAGAAGAAAAUGUAAACAAAACCAAACAGCUGAACUUUUCAGAUGAUGCCAUUCCUUUCCUUCUGUGAAGCUUCUUCAUCCUUAAAGUUACUUUUUGUCAGUUCCUCUAGAAACUGAUUCAAAACCCCUAAACCUAUCUGAAAACGCUUCUGUUUCUGUCCUGGUCUUGACUGUGUGAAUUUUUUAGAACAUUUUUAGUUUAAUUAUGCAGCAUUAAAAAUCAGUAAUUAAACUGAAUUUGCAAUUGGAACUGCUCAUUUUAGUUAACUGUCAAAUUUACUAUGGCAUUGUGAAAUAGAGGCCUUUAUUAUUAUGAGGUGUUUUGGAAAAAACCUGCUUUUUAAAUGGGAGAAAAUUGUCAUAUUUCUGAGUCCUGUCACAAAGAGCCACAAUCCAAAGAGAGAGCUCAUCGAGGAUGUGUGUUACACUCUAAACACAAUGGAAUCAUGGUGGUGUCUUAAAUUAUUGGUGUACCACAAGUGUGGACAGUAUGGAAUGAGGUCUUUUUUGCAUGUUUAUUUUGCGGAAUGUCUUUUCAAAUAUAAGUGGGAGGCUAAUGUUGCUUUAAAAUAAUCUUGUGAUGACCUGUUUGUCUUACGGAUAUCUGACAUGUUGUGUUUUGCAGGAUGCUAUGAUGCGGUUUGAUGGAUAUUGUGCGCUAUAUGAGAAGUACGAAUCUUAAUAUCUCUGUUCCUCUGUUUUAGCACGUGAGGCAAAGCUCUGCGUACGCGGAGCACCUCAGACUAGUGUCUGAGACUACCCUUUUCCUCUGAGCCUCAGGCAUUUUUAUCACUGUGCCAAUAAAAGGAAAGGGAUUUAUGGGGUACUGCUUUUUAAUUCA